GGGGGUUGGGGUUGUUUCGUAACGCCAGGCAACGUUUGCUGAACAUCUACUGUCGUCUUCGGUCAGAAAAACAUCACAGCUGAAUCUGGACAGAAGAACAUCACUCUUCUAUGCCGAGCUCCAAACAACGGAUAUCCUCAGAUGACUGUAGAGUGGAGCAGACUUGACCUGGGGGAUCAAUAUGUGCUUUUGUAUCGGGACGGUCACUUUAAUUCACACAACCAGCAUCCAUCUUUUAAGAACCGGGUGGAUCUGCAGGACAGACAGAUGAAGGAUGGAGACGUGUCUUUGAUUCUGAAGGAUGUGACGAUUAAUGAUGCUGGAACAUACGAGUGUCGUGUCAAGCCAGAAACAAAUCGGAGAAAGAGAGCUAAUCUCAGUGGUGACCCCAUCAGCAUCAUCUACCUUCAUGUUGAUCCUCCAGGUCAGACAGGAGGAGACACAGAGGAUGGAGAGAAGGAGGCAGGG